GCGGCGUGCUUACACAUGCAGUCGAACGGUGAAGCCAAGCUUGCUUGGUGGAUCAGUGGCGAACGGGUGAGUAACACGUGAGCAACCUGCCCUGAACUCUGGGAUAAGCGCUGGAAACGGUGUCUAAUACUGGAUAUGAGCUGCGGAGGCAUCUUCGUGGUUGGAAAGAUUUUUCGGUUUGGGAUGGGCUCGCGGCCUAUCAGCUUGUUGGUGAGGUAAUGGCUCACCAAGGCGUCGACGGGUAGCCGGCCUGAGAGGGUGACCGGCCACACUGGGACUGAGACACGGCCCAGACUCCUACGGGAGGCAGCAGUGGGGAAUAUUGCACAAUGGGCGGAAGCCUGAUGCAGCAACGCCGCGUGAGGGAUGACGGCCUUCGGGUUGUAAACCUCUUUUAGCAGGGAAGAAGCGUGAGUGACGGUACCUGCAGAAAAAGCGCCGGCUAACUACGUGCCAGCAGCCGCGGUAAUACGUAGGGCGCAAGCGUUAUCCGGAAUUAUUGGGCGUAAAGAGCUCGUAGGCGGUUUGUCGCGUCUGCUGUGAAAACCCGAGGCUCAACCUCGGGCCUGCAGUGGGUACGGGCAGACUAGAGUGCGGUAGGGGAGAUUGGAAUUCCUGGUGUAGCGGUGGAAUGCGCAGAUAUCAGGAGGAACACCGAUGGCGAAGGCAGAUCUCUGGGCCGUAACUGACGCUGAGGAGCGAAAGGGUGGGGAGCAAACAGGCUUAGAUACCCUGGUAGUCCACCCCGUAAACGUUGGGAACUAGUUGUGGGGUCCAUUCCACGGAUUCCGUGACGCAGCUAACGCAUUAAGUUCCCCGCCUGGGGAGUACGGCCGCAAGGCUAAAACUCAAAGGAAUUGACGGGGACCCGCACAAGCGGCGGAGCAUGCGGAUUAAUUCGAUGCAACGCGAAGAACCUUACCAAGGCUUGACAUACACGAGAACGCUGCAGAAAUGUAGAACUCUUUGGACACUCGUGAACAGGUGGUGCAUGGUUGUCGUCAGCUCGUGUCGUGAGAUGUUGGGUUAAGUCCCGCAACGAGCGCAACCCUCGUUCUAUGUUGCCAGCACGUAAUGGUGGGAACUCAUGGGAUACUGCCGGGGUCAACUCGGAGGAAGGUGGGGAUGACGUCAAAUCAUCAUGCCCCUUAUGUCUUGGGCUUCACGCAUGCUACAAUGGCCGGUACAAAGGGCUGCAAUACCGCGAGGUGGAGCGAAUCCCAAAAAGCCGGUCCCAGUUCGGAUUGAGGUCUGCAACUCGACCUCAUGAAGUCGGAGUCGCUAGUAAUCGCAGAUCAGCAACGCUGCGGUGAAUACGUUCCCGGGUCUUGUACACACCGCCCGUCAAGUCAUGAAAGUCGGUAACACCUGAAGCCGGUGGCCCAACCCUUGUGGAGGGAGCCGUCGAAGGUG
rnacentral:rRNA from 1 species